rnacentral:rRNA from 1 species
CGAAAGCCUGACGGAGCAAGACCGCGUGAGGGAGGAAGGCUCUUGGGUUGUAAACCUCUUUUCUCAGGGAAGAAGCUCUGACGGUACCUGAGGAAUCAGCCUCGGCUAACUCCGUGCCAGCAGCCGCGGUAAUACGGAGGAGGCAAGCGUUAUCCGGAAUUAUUGGGCGUAAAGCGUCCGCAGGCGGCUUAUCAAGUCUGCUGUUAAAGGUCGGGGCUCAACUCCGGUUCGGCAGUGGAAACUGAGAAGCUAGAGUGCAGUAGGGGUAGAGGGAAUUCCCAGUGUAGCGGUGAAAUGCGUAGAUAUUGGGAAGAACACCAGUGGCGAAGGCGCUCUACUGGGCUGCAACUGACGCUGAGGGACGAAAGCUAGGGGAGCG